GGAUUGUGGCUCAGUGGUAGAGUGCUCCCCUAGCAUGGGAAGGACCCGGGUUUGAUCCUCAGCACCG
rnacentral:tRNA from 1 species